UAUUCAAAAGACUUUUUCAGGGCACGUGCACUUGUAUCAUAACAGACGAGCUGGCGAGGAUAGGGGCGGAGACGGAACAUAUGGGCCCGGAACCGACUCUGCCUAUGUCAGCGGAUGUCAAGAAGGGAAUUAUAGAAAAGAAAGAAAAUAAAAGAGAUGGAAGCACAGAGAGAAUGGGAGGAAGAGACUGGAUGCAGGCAGUCGAAGAUGAUGAUUAAAGUUAUAGAUCACGGGAGAACCAGGAAAACAAGAAGAUUUGAGGAGAAUAGUGUGGGAAUGCCGCCGGGACAGUAACCUCGCAACUUCAGGGAAUUGGGCUGAAUGAACGCAACAAGUACUCGACAGCCCACCAGCUUCCGGCCAGGCGUCCCUACACUAUAUCUACAUCUACCAUAACAUAACGUUCUCACAUGCAUGCGGGCACGGCAAAAGAUCAGCAGCGCACUCAUCCAAGUCGUUACAAUGUGUUCUGUUAGCAGCCAACGUGUAAGAUAAGGACACACGCAGCACCACGAGCUAGCCGUGUUGUGGCAGCAGAAGAAGCAACUAUACCUUCGAUACACUUCUGUCUGUAUGGGCUUACCUUCAGGACAUGUGCACUUGUAUGACCCCACGGAGUUCUCACAAGCGUGCGGACACGGCGAAGGAUCAGCAGCACAUUCAUCCAAGUCUUUGCAGUGGGUUCCAUCAGCAGCUAACGUGUAUCCGUACGGGCACACGCAGCGCCACGAGCCGGGUGUGUUGUGGCAGCGGAAUGAGCAGCCCGCCAUGCCUUCGGCGCACUCGUCUAUGUCCACGCACGUCUGUAUAAAAAAAAAGUGAUAUUUUAUUUUAUCUAGCUUAUACUUUGCAAAGAAUUUGAAUUUGUUAAAUAUCAAAAAGUGGUGCCAUCUAGAUCAAAGGCCAAGGUAUAGCAGCAUCGUUUCGAGCGAUAAGAUGCCCGGUAAGUUGGCGCCACUUUUUGUUAUUUGACAAAUUGAACACAUAUUAGUGAAAGAAUAAGGAUCAAAGUCAAAUGGCAUUCUAAAAGUUUUAAUUAUGUGUCGAAAGAUGGCAGUAAAUUUACGUCGCUACAAAGUUUUCUUCGACAAUACACCUCUAUUUCAAAUUCUCUUUGACUAUAGUACUCUAGAUGUAGUAUAACAAACCUCUUACUGUACUUAUUGGUUAUGAAUGUAACACCACAUAAUGUCAGUUACCUUCAAGGCUUAGAUCUCUAGCCAUUGUCAAAGACAGAGAAAAGAAAUACGAUUUAGAACAUUCCUUUGAAAUUGUGUUUGUAUGGACAUGUCUGUUUCAGGAUUGGUACAAGUGAUGAUAAAUAGAAGUCGUUACGAGCCGUAAGCCUGCUGCACUAGCUGUGUUUGAAGCUUAUCCGUUCUGCUGAUAUGAGUAGCUACGGUCUCGGAAUAACAGUAGAUUGUAAGUAAAAAAUCGAUUCCA